GCAUUAAUGGGGUAGUGGUAACCUGGGUCGUUGCCAUUUAAUGGUUAUUUCGACCCGCCGGGGGUUCGAUUCCCUCUUAAUGCA
rfam:Termitomyces sp. J132 unplaced genomic scaffold scaffold546, whole genome shotgun sequence.